UGUUAAAAAUCAUCCAUUGUACUUUUACAAACUGGCUUGGUUGAUAAAAUAACCAGACAGGGACACAUGACGUGCCACGUGUACCUCAUGAAGACUACAUAAACUUGUUUUUAAUAGUAAAAAUUGAUGGAAUUUUUUUAACA
rnacentral:pre_miRNA from 1 species